ensembl:lncRNA
GAGCAAGUCGAUAGAAUGUUCUGUUAUCUGUGCUGUAGAAUUAGUUUUUCUAGACUCUCAUUUGACUCGAGGGGACUUUUGCCAUUGGAAAAGCUGAAAUACACAUGCAGUUUGUUGUUGUUUUUGCUUUGUUUUAGGAUUGGAGGGUUUCAUCUCAUGCUCAAAAAGCCCUUCUAUUCCCAAACUAUAUUCUCCCAAAGCGUAUUUAAAUCCCCUCAAUUUUAUUCUUCCUUUGAGGUCAAUCAUCCACUGGUAUCUCUUUUCUUGCGCGUAACACGGGAGAAGGGAGAGAACAACCCAAAAAUUCAGCAGUCGGGCAUCCGGAGAGCUGGUGCAAAAACGAGGGGGGCGGGGGUUGGCAGGAUUCGGGUCAGAUCUCGGCAGCACUUCCGGGAAGGCUUGAAACCGUCCAUCUCGAAUCGCCGCCGCCUCGCAUCCCGCGCUUCCCUCCCCGGCGUCCCCCGGGACGAUGCCAGGGUUUCCUUGGAACGCGGCCUCACGGCUUCUCCGGCGCCUCCAGCCACGGAACGGCUGCCUGCCCACCGAGGUCGCCGCGCCCGGGCCACUCAGCGCGCCCCAAGCCAUCACAGGGGAGCCGUCCGGCGGGCGCUGCCCUGGCGAGACGGGGACGGGGACGGAGGCGACACCGCUCUGCGCCUGCGCGCUCUCGCGGGACCCUCCCCGCCCUUCCGGGUACCACUUGGGCAGUCCCGGCUUCCGGCCGGCGGCGCAUGCGCAGUCCGGGUCGCGGCGCUCGGCGGCCGUGCGGGUCGGCGAGGUGCGAAGAUGGCGGGGCUGCGCUUGGCGGCUCUGGGCGCCCGGGUGCCUUGCUGGAGGUGGGGCGGAGCGGCGGUCUUCGGCUUCCGCCGGGGCCUCAGCGCCUGGCUCGCAAGGAAGCCCGAGGGGACUCCGCGGUGGCCCCCAGGUCAGUGUCCUGACGGCGGGAGAAAGCAGCACGCGCGCUCGCGGACGUGCCUGUCUCGUGCGGUCUGGGGCGCCAGCUCGCAAACGCUCUCGCCGCCCGCCCGGCGGGGGCGGGAGGACGGCCCCGGUGGGAGGGGCUGCGGGGCCCGGGCGGUAGCUGACGGGCAGUCCGCGCAGCCCCGAGCUGCGGCUGCUCUGCCGGUCUCCCCGGGGAAGCGAAGCCGCGCGUCUGCAGCGCAGCCGUUGCUCGUGUCUCCCGGAGCCCAAGGAGUUUAGGGGUCUUGACCCUUUGUUCGGAUGCAUCACGGGAGGGGGCCUACGGCGGGACUUGGCGUCGUCGUUGCGAAGGCGUCGCCGUCGCCGUCGAGCCUCAUCUGAGUUUGCCUUCCCCGGGCUCCGCGCUCAGCGCAGACCGCAGUCCUUACCCUUCGGAGGAAACUGGCGUCUGCUCCAAAAACGACAGUGUUUUCCUUGUAUUUCCAUCUUGUGAGUCUGCUGUUUCCCCGUCCCGCUCCACCCGCAGUAUAUACGAUCAUUCUUUCUGAAUCGUGUCUUUGAAUUCUCUCCGCCUUUGUGAUGUUUUACGUUUUUGACGUACAGGCUAUCAGGUGCGCUUGUGCUGGGAGUGGAACCUGUCAGUGCUUUAUACCCUUGGUCUUGGUUGAAAUUUUUAAAUGUAUAUAAUACAGUUUAACUUAUGGUUAAUUGGGCAGCCGUCGGGGGCCCGGCGGGCUCAGCGCCGCCUGCAGCCCGGGGCGUGACCCUGGAGUCCCGGGGUCGAGUCCCACUUCGGGCUCCCUGAGUGGAGCCUGCCUCUCCCUCUGCCUGGGUCUCUGCCUCUCUCUCU